AGAGCUUUCCAAUCCAUAUUUGGGAAAGAGAAGGCAGGGAGAGUGCGAUGUCACGGAAGAGUCACCACACCAACUUUGUUGAAGAAAAAUGAGGAAAUUGCCACCCUUAAGCAGCAACAUGCAACUGAGAAAGCAACAUUAGAGAAUAAGGUUGAUGUGAUGCAAAAAGAAGUAGAUGAACUAAAACCGCUUAUUAAGAUGAUGCUGCAACAAAAAAGCUCAGGAGUGGACCUUGACAUGUUAGCUGCUCAAUUAGGAAGCACUUUAGGGAAUCCGAACAAUGAUGCACAUGAAGAGGAAAACUAUGUUGAAGGGGAAAUCGAACUUGAUUAAGGUCAACUUUUUAAAAGCAAAUGUUACAGAGUAAAAGUCAUGAACUUGUGGACAUGAUGACUAUUUUCUACUUAGCUAUU